UUACUGUAAUCCAUGAAUUCAUGAAUGAAACAAUUCAAUUAUAUAUUAAAAUCUUAUUCGCGUCAUUGUCGACAAAAUGUAGCGAGAAACAAAUUAGCGAAAUUCCCUCCCUGAGUAAAAGGGAGUAUCGCUCCUCAACGUUUAAGCCUCCUAGUCUUAAAAAGGAAUUCCCGAAAUCCUAUUCACGGCUUCAAUCAAUACCCCAAUUUCCGUACAUGUGAGGUCGCAGAAAUCUGUAGAUUCAACUCGAACGUCUCAAUCACGGCUCGAGUCGAUCAAGAAACAUUCAAAUUGAGUGGGAUUGUAUUAUUUUUAUUGUAUUAUUUACAUUAUCGGGGUAUGGGGCUGCGCGGGGCCGGGCCCGCCCGUCGAUACCGCGGCCGCUGCCGCGCAUGCGUGGCAUCCGCCCCCGCCCCCUUACUAAUAUAAUAUAAUACCUGAUUUCUACUUUAUGCAUGCUAAUGUCUGAUAUCAGAGGCUCUUAGUACCCUCACCCCUCGGUAAAGAUCUCUCGACAAUAAGGUAGGCUGCUUGCUGAGUUAUCGGUUUUUAUCAGGUCUUCCGUGUUGAUAGUAGACUUAAUAAGGAAGGGUUCCAUCAAGCUUCAGCCACGGCACGUGGAGAAAACUUAAUAACUCUUAAAUUUAUUAAACGUUUUAAAAUUACAAGACAUAAGGAUCUUAAGAUUUUGAUAAUACCUACGGCAAAAAAUUAAGAGGUAUUUUCGUAAAUUACUAUGUACCUACCUUAUAUAUAGGUAUAUUCAACACAAUAAAUUUGUAAGCUACUCUCGCUUCAAUUCAUUGUCUGGGUGUUGCAAAUAUUAAUUUUAAUUAUGCACAGGAAUGCUUUUCCCGACUGCAUAUUAUGGUUCGCCAUUAUUACCUGCAAUAAUUCAAACUCUAGUGACGUGAACCACGCCCUUACUCUGUAAUUACCUAUUUAAAUUUCUACCUCCUAGGAUACCUAGAAUACCUAAAAGAAAACACCUUUCGGGUUUUUAAAAGGAAACAGGAUGUUCUUUUAACGUUCUGGGCGCACGCAACAGUUUUUAAAAUCACCAUAUUUUGCAUGGAGCUUCCCCUUUAUAACGUCACGGGUAUAAUAUAUUAAAACUUUACUUAAUAGUUAGUUUUUCUGCGUUUUCGUGUUUAAAACACAUUAAUGGGACACGGUGUUUCCACUUGUUGGCUAUCAAUUUUCAAAUGUUAAUAUACCUACAUUGGUAUUGUAGAGAUGUAGAGCAAAUUUGUAGACUACUGUUUAGAAAAAACUAAAUUUUAAUAUGUUCAAUUGUUUAUAGCUACGUUAAAUUUGAGAGUAGUUAAGUAAUACUUAAUCUAUUUAUAACAAGGCAUGCUGGAAGAUAAUCCGAGAUAUCUUGUUAAUAAAAUAAAGCUUUAUCUCACAGCUACCUGUUAAAUGGAUGACAAACAAGGUAAUCUGGAGAUAGAAUGAGAUACCGCGGACAAACACGGCGAUAGCAGCUUCCGCUAACAAGAAUACACCCAUUAAUCAGCUUGUAUACCUAUCAUAGUAGUAAAUUAAAAAGAUAAUGUAAUGCAUGGAUAAAAUAUAAAAAAAAAACACAAUUUAAAUUCAUAUGCCAAGUAGAUCAUCCAAAUACUAUAUCAAACAUGAUCUGAUCCAUGUGAUCAUACGACAUAUACGUAUGGUACGUACGAGGAAGGAAUAAAUUCGAUAUUAACAGCGCAAUAAACCAUGGUAAUAAUUUUGAUAUUUUACGGCCUACACAACCUUAAAAUAGAUGUGAGGAUAUAAAACAAAGCGGAUGACAAUUUAUUUUAGUAGGUAACCGAACCAUACAAAUGUAUAAAGUUUAAUAAAGACAGGAAGCACGCAAUAAAUCCCAUGUCAUUGACCUCAAGAGGUGACUUGAGUAUGAAUAAACUGAUGAUACGCAAAAUGUGUUUAGCACAGUCGUUCAGCAAAAUUUUUCCACAUGGAAUCAGUGUGACUACUUCUGACAUGUUGGAAGCAUAUAUCAAGAUUCCGAUUCAUCAUUAUUACCAGCCUGUAAUCGUCCACUAUUGUUCACUUAUUUUUUUGGAUGAAAAGUAGGAGAUUAAUAACUCAUCUUGUAUAUAUUUUUUUAAUUUUAUACACACAGAGGGUAUCGCUAAACAUAACCCUUUGGUGGUUCAAUUAAAUUCGAUACCAUCUGUCAUAUUUAGGGUGUCUUCUACAUCAAAUUAUUUUUACUUUGUUUAUCCCGAGUCCUGGUCAAGCGGCUUCGAAACAAUGUGGCCAAAAAUUCGUUCAAUUUAUUAUUCCCAAUUUUGGUCCCGGUUUGAUCCCUUUUAGUUGCCAUGUGCAAGGUAGCCAAGUCCAGACAGCUCCACCCUAAAAAACCGUUUGUACCAGACGAGAUUCCUAUUCCGUCACUCCCGUUGUGUUUUGUAUGCUUUGUCUCUUUCCCGUUAGCUGUGUAGCAGGAUACAUCUUCCGUCUCUUUUUCGCUUGAGGCCGGCGCACAUUGUUCCGACUCGUGCUAAUUCGUAUGUUUCCGCUUCCCACACGAGGAGCCGCCAUAUUUGGCGGGACUGUCAAGUCAACGCCAGUUUGGCGCGUAUCAAGCUAACGAGGAACAAGGUCAAUUUCCAUCGAUGAGAGCUUCCUCACCACAUUUUUCUUCCUUGAGUGUAUUGAUCGUAGAAUCUCAGCUGUAACAGACUCUUUCCAUUUUAUUUCAGAUGGAGACAGGUUGGGCGGGUCUUCCUAUGGACCAUCUAUGGCGAAAAAUUCUAUGACAUGUGAGUACAUUUAUUAUAAUAUAUUUGAGUCAUUAAAAAUGUGUUAAUACUAAUUUAAACAAAUUAGGUACCUAUGAAAAACUUAUACCUCUUCAAACUGAGCUACAAUAAUUAAGUUGCACAAAUUCCGGGACCAACAACAGGACCUCUAGGUCUUGAAGUGAAGCUUCCACCACUACACCACAGUUAUGCAAAUACAUAUGUACAUAAAACAUCAUAAACAUAUAUUUUUUCACUUGAAUAUCAAAAUAACGAAAAGAUAUAAUUUAAGCCCUUUGCACAAUCCACCACGGUAUACAAAGAAUAGCAGAAUACGAUAGACAAAUAACGGCUUUUAACAAAGAAGUACUGAUAAAUGUUCUUAAGUACCGAGAACAAACUUUCUAGUUCCGUUCAUAUUAACACUUCAAAUGUUUCGGCCGAAUACAUUAGCAUCAAUUAUUUAGGUAUCUUCUGCACAUUUUACCUUUAGCUUCAGUUGAUCCUUCGUGGCUUUUAGGAUAAGUCAGCCAAGGUCUAAAAUUUGACUUUUUUUUUGUACUAGGCAAAAUGCAACAAUGGCCUAAUUUACAAACAAAAGCUAAGCUUUUUUAUCGGUUUGGUUCUGAAUUCCGAAGCCAUGAUGGAUGCAUCGUGCAGCCGAAAUUCCGUGGUCAGUUCGUGCUUGGCACAUACCAUGUUAAUGGGAAGGCAACAAUUACAUGAUGCUGACUAACAAAACGUGUAAAUGGAGCAAUUACCGACAGCGAUGUAGGCUGCUGUACAAUUAGUGGGUUGCUAAUAGUUUUCAUCACCGAUAGUACAGCACCACACUCUGUUCCGAACGCAUCAAUUCUUUCCCAGUGCUCGGCCUAUACACACGUAUUUUUAGCAUUCCCUUUUUCUUUUGUUUUAAUUUUUUUAUUGUAUACUUUACAGUUUCAUCUUGUCCUGCAUCAGUGAUAGCCUGUGGAUCAUUGCUGUUUUUUGAUGUCGUCCCAGAUCGCAGGCAGAAUUGAAAAUGUUGAACACCAGUGAGGCCAAAUGCUAUUUCCAAGUCUGAAUCCUUGGAGAAGAACUCCGUUUGGUGCCCUAUAGCAUCAAAUAUUAGUGCCCUACAUCUACCCUGUAGAUCCGAAUUUGUUUGAAGUGAGGCGACAAAUUCGGUUCUAGAGAGGUUUGUGUGGUGCACGCACUGCAUCGAUGGGAGGAAGCGAACGAAUGUGGCGAGCAAAACGUGAAACAUACGCAGAUACAUUUACGAGACGGCGGAAUGGCAUAUUAUGUUAGGAGGUUCACUGGUUGUUUAAAGAAAUAAAAUUUAUAAACACUUGCUAAUUUGGUGGCGGACCACAUGAGGUUGCAUAAAGCGAUGCGUCGCAAUGACACUGAUGUUUGAUUUAUUUUGUGACUUGCGAUAUAAGAUGUUCGACAACACGCGUCUACAGAAAUACAUGGAAACGAUAGAAACCGAAGUGACGUUGAAACAUGUUGUCGGCUACAACCUCAUGUUGUUUGAAGCCAAUUUGCACGUAUAGUUAGUUCAAUUAUACUUAACACAAAACGGAAAGCCGUGUCUGCUGCCAGUCUGCCGACUUAAAAAUGUAUCUGCUGUCUACGAAAUCGGAUGUUUCUGAAGCAAGUUUGUGGAUUUCUAGAUACUUCUUAUUAGCUAUGUUCACACUUUAGCGAAUGAAAGUGCCUAGAAUCUACACAAUCGUCAAUUCAAGAAGAUUUACCUACAACUACAUGCUUACUGACCUACGUACUUGUUAUAGAUGUCUGAUUAAGAGGUUGAAAUUAUUAUUUUGACUAGUAAUUGUAACCUAUAGGCCUGCUGUGUUCUGUGCAUCAGUGAUUCUACUUUACAUCGUUAUU